rnacentral:rRNA from 1 species
GACGAACGCUGGCGGCGUGCCUAACACAUGCAAGUUGAGCGACGAACCAGGGCUUGCCCUGGGGCAAAGCAGCGAACGGGUGAGUAACACGUGGGUAACCUACCCCGAUAACCGGGACAACCCGAGGAAACUCGGGCUAAUACCGGAUGUGCUCACUGAACUUCGGUUCAGUGCGUAAAGGAAGCUUCGGCCUCCGUAUCGGGAGGGGCCCGCGGCCCAUUAGCUAGUUGGUGAGGUAACGGCUCACCAAGGCCGCGCUGGGUAGCUGGUCCUAGAGGACGAUCAGCCACACUGGGACUGAGACACGGCACAGACUCCUACGGGAGUCAGCAGUGGGGAAUCUUGAGCAAUGCGCGAAAGCGUGACGCAGCAACGCCGCGUGGGGGAAGAAGGCCUUCGGGUUGUAAACCCCUUUCAGGAGGGACGAAGGUUCGGCGGUGAAUAGCCGUCCGGACUGACGGUACCUCCACAAGAAGCCCCGGCUAACUACGUGCCAGCCGCCGCAGUAA